rnacentral:rRNA from 1 species
UCAGGAUGAACGCUGGCGGCGUGCUUAACACAUGCAAGUCGAACGAUGAAGCUGGAGCUUGCUCUGGUGGAUUAGUGGCGAACGGGUGAGUAACACGUGAGUAACCUGCCCUUGACUCUGGAAUAAGCGUUGGAAACGACGUCUAAUACCGGAUACGAGCUUCCGCCGCAUGGUGAGGAGCUGGAAAGAAUUUCGGUCAAGGAUGGACUCGCGGCCUAUCAGGUAGUUGGUGAGGUAAUGGCUCACCAAGCCUACGACGGGUAGCCGGCCUGAGAGGGUGACCGGCCACACUGGAACUGAGACACGGUCCAGACUCCUACGGGAGGCAGCAGUGGGGAAUAUUGCACAAUGGGCGCAAGCCUGAUGCAGCAACGCCGCGUGAGGGACGACGGCCUUCGGGUUGUAAACCUCUUUUAGUAGGGAAGAAGCGAAAGUGACGGUACCUGCAGAAAAAGCACCGGCUAACUACGUGCCAGCAGCCGCGGUAAUACGUAGGGUGCAAGCGUUAUCCGGAAUUAUUGGGCGUAAAGAGCUCGUAGGCGGUUUGUCGCGUCUGCUGUGAAAACUGGGGGCUCAACCCCCAGCCUGCAGUGGGUACGGGCAGACUAGAGUGCGGUAGGGGAGAUUGGAAUUCCUGGUGUAGCGGUGGAAUGCGCAGAUAUCAGGAGGAACACCAAUGGCGAAGGCAGAUCUCUGGGCCGUUACUGACGCUGAGGAGCGAAAGCAUGGGGAGCGAACAGGAUUAGAUACCCUGGUAGUCCAUGCCGUAAACGUUGGGAACUAGAUGUAGGGGCCAUUCCACGGUUUCUGUGUCGCAGCUAACGCAUUAAGU